rnacentral:rRNA from 1 species
CAGACAGCCAGGAUGUUGGCUUAGAAGCAGCCAUCAUUUAAAGAAAGCGUAAUAGCUCACUGGUCGAGUCGGCCUGCGCGGAAGAUGUAACGGGGCUAAACCAUGCACCGAAGCUGCGGCAGCGACACUAUGUGUUGUUGGGUAGGGGAGCGUUCUGUAAGCCGUUGAAGGUGUACUGUGAGGUAUGCUGGAGGUAUCAGAAGUGCGAAUGCUGACAUAAGUAACGAUAAUGCGGGUGAAAAACCCGCACGCCGGAAGACCAAGGGUUCCUGUCCAACGUUAAUCGGGGCAGGGUGAGUCGACCCCUAAGGCGAGGCCGAAAGGCGUAGUCGAUGGGAAACAGGUUAAUAUUCCUGUACUUGGUGUUACUGCGAAGGGGGGACGGAGAAGGCUAUGUUGGCCGGGCGACGGUUGUCCCGGUUUAAGCGUGUAGGUGUGUGUUCCAGGUAAAUCCGGUUCACUUUAACACUGAGGCGUGAUGACGAGGCACUACGGUGCUGAAGUAACAAAUGCCCUGCUUCCAGGAAAAGCCUCUAAGCAUCAGGUAACAUCAGAUCGUACCCCAAACCGACACAGGUGGUCAGGUAGAGAAUACCAAGGCGCUUGAGAGAACUCGGGUGAAGGAACUAGGCAAAAUGGUGCCGUAACUUCGGGAGAAGGCACGCUGAUAUGUAGGUGA